ensembl:snRNA U6 U6 spliceosomal RNA
GUGCUCACAUUGGUAGCCCACAAUAUUAGAAUAAUGCAGACAAUAUUAGCAUGGCUCCUAAAAAAGGAUGACACCCAAAUUCAUGAAGUGCUCCAUAUUUUU